UACGGGGGGGGGCAAGCGUUGUUCGGAAUUACUGGGCGUAAAGGGCUCGUAGGCGGCCAACUAAGUCAGACGUGAAAUCCCUCGGCUUAACCGGGGAACUGCGUCUGAUACUGGAUGGCUUAAGGUUGGGAGAGGGAUGCGGAAUUCCAGGUGUAGCGGUGAAAUGCGUAGAUAUCUGGAGGAACACCGGUGGCGAAGGCGGCAUCCUGGACCAAUUCUGACGCUGAGACGCGAAAAGCGUGGGGGAGCAAACA
rnacentral:rRNA from 1 species